GGUUUGAAUCAGAGUUAUUUAUCCCCCCCCCCCCCCAAACAAGAUACUUGUAUCGACGUUGACCAUUCUAUAGGCUCGAUUCUUUCGAUUUGUUUUUUAGUUUGCAAUUGAGAAAUUUUUGUUAAUGGUAGAAAAGCCAAUCGUUUUAAUACUAUUGCAAGAGGAAUGAGACUUACAUGGUAUGUACUCUGACCGAUCGUUUUAAUUUUAAAGGUGUUUGUGAGGACACUAUGUAAUUUAGGUUUACAAUGCAGUGAAGGGAGAUCCAGGUUGUCAUCAUUGAAUGAAAUUCCAAAGGGACACUGAACAGACCUACGAUUAGAAUAUACGGGUUCAGGAUAAGGGUCAGAGAGGGUGAAAUCGAACGAUUGAGCUUCACAAGUCGAUACGAAAAUGUAUCCCCUAUACGGUAAUAGAUAAAUAAAGUUUGGUAAUGGCUAUAAAAAGAUGUGGUACGAAUGGUAAUGAGACAUUGUAUAUUUAAAGUCAAUAUGAAUAUUAGAUAAAUUUAGGCAACAGUAUUUUAACGAUGUAAAAAUGUCACCCAACUUUUAAAAAUACAAUAGGUAACAAUCAAACUGAUGAAAUCGCACAAACUUUAACAGAAGCGAGAUCAUUUGCGUCGAAAUGAUUUACGUCUUCUGCUUUGCAUACAGCACCCGCCAUUCGUGUACGCAAUCAGUCAGAAGAUACGACUUAUGCUUACUUGACGUAACACUAUAUAAUUAAUUUACAAUUGUUAAUAUAACAAUAAGUAUCCAUACUUUUAGGGAAAACAAUAUUAUCCUUGUAAUCUAACAUUACUAGGACUAUUACUUGUCACAUUCAUUUGAUCAAUAUUCCCGUUGUUCAAUAAUUCAUGGGUUUUCAAUGCACGUGUAAUCUUAUAUAAGAAGGAUCCAUUAUAGUUCGCUUCACCAAGGAAAAUAAUAGAAACUGAUUCUGAUAUUUGAGCAAUUAACACUUUUCCUGUGUCACCUUUUCCUAAGAACCCUGUUUGUCCGGUUUUGAUACAGCGAAAUAUUUCACCGUCUUCUACAAUUAACGUGAACAUUGGUAUUUUGCUUAAAACUGAACUUUCCAUGCUGUAAGUUAUUUUAUCCAAUAACUUUUGUUCAGUACAUAAUAUCCCAUCGGAGAAAACACAAUGUCCCUCUUUUCCAAUGAUGGCAAAUGUUAUCAUUUCAUCCAUGUUUAAUAAAAACGAUUGCAGGAAUUGAAAGUCCAUUUUUGUUAUUACGGCAACAUAUGAACAAUAUAAAAAAUAUGAAUAAAUAAUCGUGUCCUUGUACUGCAGGUGGUAUUGAUUUUAUAAUAAUUUAAAAACUGCAAAUUAAGUACUCCUCCAAUAGCCACCAAAAUAGGAAAAGUAGUCAAUUUCAGUACAUCUGCGUAAAACAAAUUAAACUGUUCCUGAAUUAUUCAUUUAUGUUAUCAGUGUUUGUUGUUUUUUCCCAACACAUGUGAUAGAAAGACUUAUACGUACAAUGUACAUGGUCCUAUUGACCUUUUGAUGUUAUGUCGAUGGACUGUCAC
rnacentral:lncRNA from 1 species